rnacentral:rRNA from 1 species
GCGGCUGCACCACUGGGAUACCCUGAUCCAACAUCGAGGUCGUAAACCCACUUGUCGAUAAGGGCUCUUGAAGUGGAUUGCGCUGUUAUCCCUAGGGUAACUUGGUUCGUUGUUCAAAAUAUUGGGUCAAUUUAUGUUAAUUUGUUAGUGCUUAAAGUUGUGGCUUUUGGCUCAAGAAUAGUUCUAUUCAUUGUGGAGGCUAAUUUUUGCUCCGUGGUCACCCCAACCUAAAACUAAUAGUUAAAAGGCUAGAAUAAGUAUUAAUACCUCUCGAGGUAUGUAGGGAAAAAGCCAGUGCUAUUUAGUUUGAAGCUCCAUAGGGUCUUCUCGUCUAAUAUUAAGAUUCCCGCUUCUUCACGGGAAGAUCAGUUUCAUUGAUUGGAAAAAGGAGACAGUGGAACCCUCGUGAUGCCAUUCAUACUAGUCCUCAUUUAAAGAACAAGUGAUUACGCUACCUUUGCACGGUUAGGAUACCGCGGCCGUUAAACUAAGUCACUGGGCAGGCUAGACCUCUUAUAGGGCUCAAGAGGCGAUGUUUUUGGUAAACAGGCGGGGUUAAUAUUUGCCGAGUUCCUUCUUUUUCUUUUAAUCUUUCUUGAAAUGUACUGGUGUUAGGUUAACGCUAAAAAUAACAGGGUUUUCUAGUAGAAGUUGCUGUUUUAUAAUCAUGGGCGUUAAUUACCAGUGGGGGGGUCCUUUCUGGUUUAUAUAUACAUCUAAGAGAAGGUCUUUUUCUUAUUACUAGUUUUAACAUAAUGGCUUCUAUAGUGUUAUAGAAUAACUUAAUAUUGAUAAAGGG